CUGAAAUGGUCACCAGGCUCUUCUUCUGGGUGGCUCUUUGUCUUCUGUGGGCAGGAAACCUGGAUGCCCGAAUCACCCAGAGCCCAAGAUACAAGGUUGUGGGGACGGAAAAGAAUUUGACACUGAGUUGUCACCAGACUGAUAACCAUAACUAUAUGUACUGGUAUCGCCAAGACCUGAGCCAUGAGCUGACGCUGAUCUAUUACUCAGUUGGUGCUGGGAUCACCGCCAAAGGAGAUGGUGCCGAUGGGUACAGUGUCUCUAGAUCAAAUACAGAGAACUUUUCCCUCACACUGGAGUCAGCUACACCCUCCCAGACAUCUGUGUACUUCUGUGCCAGCAGUUAA